AUCCUUUUGUGAUUCAUAACUGUGAUCAUGGGGUUUUUAUGCCAUUCUGUAAGGUGUUCUUCCCUCAAACCUUGUUACAAUGUGGGCAUAUUAUUCAUCUGAUG
ensembl:snoRNA